rnacentral:lncRNA from 10 species
UGCAUGGCCAAGGGCAGCCCCAGGUUCCCCAUCUAAGGGGACAGGGAUGGCAACAGGUGAGGAGGAUUAAAGGCACUAACCCGUGGCCUUAGCAUCGAGGCUGAUAUGUGAUAAUCACCCAAUUUAGUUAGCCAAUACUAUUAUCACAUGCUAAUAGAGAUUCCGACUUGCGCAACAGGGAGGCUCUAUCCAUCACUUUCCUCUUCCACAAACGCACAUGACAGUCGGGGUUGGCUUCCACCCCUUAAUUGCGCAGUGGACAGUGUGCUGUCAAAUGGAGCAACCAGUGAGGUCUACAAGAAUGCCUUACGGAGGCAGCAAAAUAGAUCCAGGUGGAAAAGUUGCAGGAACCCCCGGGCCACACGUGAGGCGAGCACUCAGUCUCUGCCUCGAGGAUGAAAGAAGGGCCAACUGCACAUUAAAAGAAAGUGAGGGGAGAGGCGAUCAGCUGCCGGGGGCCACACUCCGAAGUGCGAACAGAAUCUGAAGCACCCUCUCACGGGAAAUGCCGGCAUCUCACUGACCUGAUUCUGAGCAAGCAAGAGGGCGCUGGAUUGUCCCACUCUUUGAAGCUCAAAAUGGGCUUCUGUAAGCACCGAACGCACGUCACCUAAUUUAUCUCUCAUCACACCCUGUGAGCAGGUGCCAUUGUCAUCAUCCCCCCUUUAGAGACAGGCGAAUUCCGCACCCCCAUAAAACGACUCACUCAAGGUCAUUAUCAGCCCUACAUCUAUAACUCACGGACUCGUGUCUAGAGAGUUCUGCCUGGCUGAUUUUCUCUGUUCUUCUAACUACUCCACAACUAAAUGUUUCACAAAGCCAUUUCCCCCCCAAAUAUUUAUGUUCUCAAAUGUUUAUUGCCUCUCUAUCAUGAUCAAGAUUUUAUGAGCACUCUAUAUCAGUUGUGAAUUAAAUACAUAAUUUCGGAAUCAUCGCAUUCCAGUUUGGUGCUACAUUUGUCUCUAUUACACCGCAGCAGUUGCCGUGGGCACCCGACAGAUGACAACGGAAUGCGUGUGUCCAGGGGCAGCCAGAGUGACUGACAUUUCAAUCCAGAAGCUGCCACGGGGACCUGGUGAUUCCCACCGUUAGCGGGAGAGAAGCUUCCACAGCUCACCGGGAUGGUCAGAGGGUUCCGGAGCAGGACAAGGCUAGGAUGGGCUCCCCCCGUCACCCUCACUGCACCAACGAGGCCGUGUCCAACCCGCUGGCCUCUGGGGAAGGAGGGCCCGCCAUCUCACGGCAGGUGAAGAAGACAAGGAGAAAAAGAGGCCAUUUUUUUCCUCUGAUGAGCAGUACCCACUCUCUUAUAGAACAAUCCGGGCUAUGCCUGGGGGCCUACUGGUUAAUCCCAUCCUGUAUGGGAAAUACAGAAAGAAUAUCGAGCCUGGAACAAAACUGCUACAAUUUAUUACUCCCUCACAUUUACCUGUAUGCACUACCUGACUGACCCUCACAGCAACUUCACACAAUGUGGACUGCUAAUUCCACUUUGCAAGUGAAGAAACUGAGGCUCCGAAAGGCGGCAACCGCAGAGGUGGA